CCCCCCUGGCCGGACCACUGCCAACGGCGGUGCUAUGCGCCUGCAGUAGUAGGAAUACACUAGUAGUAGUAGACUCUCUGGUAGUAGUAGUAGUAGUAGUAGUACUGCCUUGUGCACGGCACAUGCUCUGCCGCCGGGACUGCACUCUGCAGUGCACAGUCUGUGUUGUGCUCGACUCGACUGGAGCAGGCAGAGUGCAGAGCCGAGGACUGUUUUAGUUCAGUGCCAUGCUGGUAGACCCUCUAAUGACUGUAAAUGCAUGAAUGCGAUUGUGACAGGCACCAUGCCUCUGUACAGGUAUUAAUGGCAUUGGCUGGAUUUCUUUGGUGACGACUGUAUUACUCCCCCAGUCCCUGCCCCCAACAACAGAAAAAGAAAUACUCCCUGUUUCCAGCAGUUCACUUGCAUACCAGUGUCAUGGUUGUUGUCUCUUCUGACCAUGAAUGUUCCUAUAUGUAUUGUCUGAUUCUGAUCCAAUGCACUACAAUGCCCUCAGUUUGGUGAGUCUGCCAUUCGAUGACGCCGAGACCUCUGAUCAGUUGAGCAUGGCAGGCCCUACCAGCACCGUCUCACUGCUGACUCCAUGCUAGCCCCAUGUACUGCUGAUUCCAUGCUAGCCCCAUGUACUGCUGACUCCAUGCUAGCCCCAUGUACUGCUGACUCCAUGCUAGGCCCAUGUACUGCUGACUCCAUGCUAGCCCCAUGUACUGCUGACUCCAUGCUAGCCCCAUGUACUGCUGACUCCAUGCUAGUCCCAUGUACUGCUGACUCCAUGCUAGCCCCAUGUACUGCUGACUCCAUGCUAGCCCCAUGUACUGCUGACUCCAUGCUAGCCCCAUGUACUGCUGACUCCAUGCUAGCCCCAUGUACUGCUGACUCCAUGCUAGCCCCAUGUACUGCUGACUCCAUGCUAGCCCCAUGUACUGCUGACUCCAUACUAGCCCCAUGUACUGCUGACUCCAUGCUAGCCCCAUGUACUGCUGACUCCAUGCUAGCCCCAUGUACUGCUGACUCCAUGCUAGCCCCAUGUACUGCUGACUCCAUGCUAGCCCCAUGUACUGCUGACUCCAUGCUAGCCCCAUGUACUGCUGACUCCAUGCUAGCCCCAUGUACUGCUGACUCCAUGCUAGCCCCAUGUACUGCUGACUCCAUGCUAGCCCCAUGUACUGCUGACUCCAUGCUAGUCCCAUGUACUGCUGACUCCAUGCUAGGCCCAUGUACUGCUGACUCCAUGCUAGCCCCAUGUACUGCUGACUCCAUGCUAGCCCCAUGUACUGCUGACUCCAUGCUAGCCCCAUGUACUGCUGACUCCAUGCUAGCCCCAUGUACUGCUGACUCCAUGCUAGCCCCAUGUGCCUGCCGGAAUCUUUGAUUUUCUGUAUGGCACGGACAGUCGCUUCCGUAAAUCAAAGUCGUACGAGCGCCACUCCAUGCUACUCGGCACCACCCCAGCCAACGUUCUGAUUCCGGACGAACCGAAGAAAUGCCAGUAAAAAGGUGAAGUCUGCAGUGCAUGUGCGUGUGUGCAUCCUCACUGCUGUUGCUAGUCUCCUCACAGUCCACCCUUGACCGUCCCAUUCUCCAGUUUCAAUGCUAGUAUCAUCACUACUCUACAUGUAUAUGUAUUUUAGCAUAUCCACCAUCAAUGCUGGUCACAUGACAAAUUACACUUACCUACCCUCACUACUUCAAGUAUGCUGCUGAUAUUAUUAUUUUUAUUCACAUAGCUAUGGUUUUUUUUGUGGCAAAUUCACUAGUGCCCUAGCUUGGCCCAAUCUGUGUUCUAUCAUAGGUGGUUAAAUAACGACAUCGCAUUGUUCAAUCUUCCAGUCCUAUCAGUGACAACUCUCGUAGCCAAUGUGCAUUGUUUCCGACGGCCAUCACCAAGAAGUUAUGUUCUCUUUCUCAGCUAGGGCCGUUCACAAUUUGUUUUCCAAUUCAAUUUCCGCCCUUUCCACCAUCCUGGAAGCAUGGAGAGAGACAGUACCGGUAUUAUGAAUAUUAUAAAGUUACAAGCAGGGCAUUGGCUAUGUCAUCACUCAUCAGUACUACUUUCCAGCUAUACUGCUAUGACAUCACUACUACUUGCUCCCAAGUCACUCUGUUUUCUGUACCCGACUACCGGUACUUAAUUGUGUCACUAUUCAAGGUACUUUAUACUUGAAGUACUACGUUUACUUCAUACAAAGUGUUGAAAUAUGAAGCCUGAAAUCA